CCCCAAUCGCCUCCAUCUCCAUUCUCGUUCUCACUGAACUUGCCCCCCUCUCUCUCUGCAACUGCCAAGUGCAAAAUCUACAAGAAUCAGAAAUUCAAAACCCAUAUAUUUCAGUUUAUCUAUCUGUCUACAAGAAUCAAAAGUUCAAAACCUAUUACCUAUAUCAAAACCCAUAUCGACAUAUCAUUUCAGAUUGUUCAAAAAAUCAAAACCCAUAUCGUUCAGUUUCCAUCGCCUGCUGUUCCAGAUCGGGUUCGCCGUUCGCAAGCUUCAGCCGCCGGCCCGCUGUCUCUUAACUCUCAAGCUUGCCCCCUUCUCUCUCUGCAACUGCUAACUUGGUUGGUAUCGGGCCUUAACAUUUAUCAAGAACAAGGUUCAAGAAACAUGCCUCCUCAGUCAUCAGGUCUCUUUUUUAAAAGAAGAGAGUUCAUGGGAAUGGGUGGAGUUGGCAAAAAGAAAUAGGUACUUCAUAUCUUACUUGAUAGGAGUACCACGCUGGAGAGGAGACAAAGGAGACAAAGAGCAGCAAGAGACCAAGAGCAAGAAGGAAGAAGAAGGUUUUCGGCGAGGAUGAAAACAAUGCGGUUGUGGUAAAAUCACCGAUUGGUUCAACUAGAGAGAUUUUUUCAAGGAUUCGAGACGAACCUUUGAAUAUCAUCAAAAGGCCUAAAGUUUUCGUUCAUAGCCUCAAUCAUGGACAAGUUCCACUCAAUUUGAGUCCAUUUGAGGUUGUGGGACAUUCUAGUGAAACUGGUUGGGGUCUAUUAAUUUCGCAGUUUUGUGUUCUCCUGGUCAAACAAUUGACCUUCCUGAUUUGCCUCACGAUCUGCCUCCCGUUGAAGGUGAGAAUACUAUCACGCUAGGUUGUUUUAUUAUGAAUGAGAACAAUACUAGCAUUUUAAUUGUUCGAAGAUACACGAUUUCAUGUUUUUCGACAUAGAACAAAUUUGGGAGAAGAAUUUUGGCAACUUGAUAUUGUUCUUUAACAUAGUGUACCUCAAGGGUUUCAUCAUUCAGAGCUUUAUGUUGUUUGGGCGGACACAACUAACAAUCACAUAAUUGUCAUCCAAAAUUGGCAAGAUCAUGCAAAUUUUGCCAUAGACUUUAAUUUUUUUAAUGAAUUAGUGGGCACUAACAUGGUGAGUGCAAUCGAUUUUGAUAUGCAUCUAGUGCUCCUUCAGGGAACUGACUUUAUUAUCUAUAACUUGUUUGUGUGGGAGGAUCUCGAAGGGGUAUUAGACAUUGGAUUGGUGGGUUUAGACGAUUGGUACACUGAUGGGUUCAAUUAUUACAUUACAAGGAGUUUGUGUGGCAUAAGGAUACAGAUUGACAUGGGCGACGGGGAAAGAAAUAGGAUUUAUGCACGGUUUCAUUGAAAGUAUUGUUAGGUUUCGCUGUGUUUGAAUUAUCUUCCUCCAAUUCGCUUCUAUAUAUAGUCGUGUUUGGUGUCGAAUCGAGUCACCGGCAGAGAAAGUGUGUGGAUGUUUGCACGACGACCGCUUCGGAACUGUUCUACAAUCAGAGGUCUCGUUUGAGCUGAAACACCAUUGAAUUAGGGCUCAAUUCUUCUCUCGAUCGAAGUAUUCAUCACAAUCAAAGCAAUCGUCGCAAUCAUCUCCACAACACCACCACCACCACCACCACCACAAACAACAACACAGCAGCAGCUAUCAAGAUCGUCACGAUCCGGACGGAUGUGAUCCUCUCCGUCGAUCUGUCCAUAUCAGGCUUCCAUCUCAUCGCCCUUCUCAUCCGGGUUAGCAUCGGGCCUUAACAUUUAGCAAGAACACUUAUCAAAAAAAUCAAAAAAACAUUUAGCAAGAACAAGGUUCAAGAAACAUGCCUCCUCAGUCAUCAGGUCUCUUUUUUGAAAGAAGAGAGUUGAUGGGAAUGGGUGGAGUUGGCAAAAAGAAAUAGGUACUUGAUAUCUUACCUGAUAUGAGUACCACGCUGGAGAGGAGACAAAGGAGACAGAGCAGCAAGGAGAGACCAAGAGCAAGAAGGAAGAAGAAGGUUGAAUGAAGAUUAAAAACAUUUUUUUGCUUAUAAUCCCUUUCCCCUCUGCCCUCAAAAAUUGAGUAGAUUAGAUGCAGGUUAUUACUCUUUUUAACUUUUUUUUAACUCAGUAUUGUUGAUCACCUACUGAAAAAUCUAAUUUAUAAGUGACAUGAGAUUUUUUAUCCUCCACAUGAUUGAAGGUGGCAAAAUAUUUGGCUUUUAA